UACGGAGGGCGCGAGCGUUAAUCGGAAUUACUGGGCGUAAAGCGCGCGUAGGCUGUUGUGUAAGUUGGGGGUGAAAUCCCACGGCUCAACCGUGGAACAGCCCUUGAUACUGCGCGACUUGAAUCCGGGAGGGGGUGGCGGAAUUCCAGGUGUAGGAGUGAAAUCCGUAGAUAUCUGGAGGAACAUCAGUGGCGAAGGCGGCCACCUGGACCGGUAUUGACGCUGAGGCGCGAAAGCGUGGGGAGCAAACAGG
rnacentral:rRNA from 1 species